AACGAACGCUGGCGGCAGGCUUAACACAUGCAAGUCGAACGCCCCGCAAGGGGAGUGGCAGACGGGUGAGUAACGCGUGGGAAUCUACCCAUCCCUACGGAAUAACGCAUGGAAACGUGUGCUAAUACCGUAUACGCCCUACGGGGGAAAGAUUUAUCGGGGAUGGAUGAGCCCGCGUUGGAUUAGCUAGUUGGUGGGGUAAAGGCCUACCAAGGCGACGAUCCAUAGCUGGUCUGAGAGGAUGAUCAGCCACUUUGGGACUGAGACACGGCCCAAACUCCUACGGGAGGCAGCAGUGGGGAAUAUUGGACAAUGGGCGCAAGCCUGAUCCAGCCAUGCCGCGUGAGUGAUGAAGGCCUUAGGGUUGUAAAGCUCUUUCACCGGAGAAGAUAAUGACGGUAUCCGGAGAAGAAGCCCCGGCUAACUUCGUG
rnacentral:rRNA from 1 species